rnacentral:lncRNA from 1 species
GAUGAUCUGUGACCUUUAAAUCCCGGCAGCUUAGCGAGGAGGUGUGAGUGUGGUCGCCACACUUCACUUGCUCCUCCUCGCCUGCCCCUUCUUCCCCCUCUUCUGCACCAGUGGCAAGUCAAGAGACCACUGGUUGCCGUGCCUCUCUUCUCCGGCCGAGACCGGAAAGGCAGAAACCUCCGAUGGCUCCCUCCGCCAGGCGGCCAUUGUCCCUGCCGCCGGCGCCGUCGCCUAGGCGCGAGGAUCGUCGCCGUGGACACCGCCGGCGCCGGAGGCUCCUCUGGAUGGAGCGAGCGCCUCCCAUGAUGCGGAGGACGGGUUAACUGAUUCGUUGGAGCUGUGUGCAAUGCAACCGUGCAUGCAUGUAGGCAAGUCUAAUGCUUGACUGUUCUGUUAGUUCGACUUGGUUGUAAUUGCCAGAUUCCCUUUCUUCUGUGCGUGUUCUUGGCUGGCGGAGCCCUCUUUACUUUUCGUUUCCUAUAUAUGCCAUCUACCCGUCUCCGGAUUUCUCCUCGGCGCCUUGUGUUCUUAUGUUUGUCAGUUUGUUUAAUUCCCUCCUAUCUAUUUGUGCUGCUGGCUCGCUGGUUGAUUAUUUUCGAUGCUUUCUCUGCAUGACUUGUAAUGUGCAAACCGAUCUCUCCACCAGGCAUCCAGUGGAGGCGAUCAGAGUCGGAGAGUGAUUUGUGAGAGAAAAGGCAAGCGCGCGGCCGAAAGAGUUUUUAGUACUAAUACUAUUACCUUGUGCUAGCUGCUAACUAUGAAUGAGUGUCACAUCUGUUGGCUUUUAAUCCGUAGAUCAAAAGACGAGAACAGCAGCACACAUACGUACGUGCAAAGCUAGUAAGCUAGCAAGCAGGUAGCUGGAUGGAUAUACAGCCACAUAUGUGUGUGCAGCCGUAUCGUUUCUUCAACCGGCUACGAUCGACACGACACGAUUUUGACGAAACGAACAUGAAGGCACGAAUCGAUGUAUGGCCACAGGCUCGUGUCGAGCACAGGCUCGUGUCGAGCCUGUCAAACUUUGUAUUGCUUUUCGUUUCUAUUGGUGUUACAAGCACCACCCCUAGGAUGCCUUUUAUACACAUCCACAAGGUACUAUGGAAAUAGACUAGGACUAGGUAUCCUAAUACUACUAGGACUUGGUUUGACUUUUUUUUCCUAAUCCUAUGUGUAAAGGGUAACGUGAUUAACUCACAUUCACCCC